UCAGGAAUAUUGCGCAAUGGAGGAAACUCUGACGCAGCGACGCCGCGUGGGUGAUGAAGGCCUUCGGGUCGUAAAGCCCUGUCGGAGGGGAAGAAAAGCCCACUGGCUAAUAUCCAGCGGGCCCUUGACGGUACCCUCAAAGGAAGCACCGGCUAACUCCGUGCCAGCAGCCGCGGUAAGACGGAGGGUGCAAGCGUUGUUCGGAUUGACUGGGCGUAAAGGGCGUGUAGGCGGUCGGCCAAGUCUGAUGUGAAAGCCCGGGGCUCAGCUCCGGAAGUGCGUCGGAAACUAGUCGGCUGGAGCGCGAUAGAGGAGGGUGGAAUUCCUGGUGUAGCGGUGAAAUGCGUAGAUAUCAGGAGGAACACCGGCGGCGAAGGCGGCCCUCUGGAUCGUUGCUGACGCUGAGACGCGAAAGCGUGGGGAGC
rnacentral:rRNA from 1 species